GAUGAAGAACGCAGCGAAAUGCGAUAAGUAAUGUGAAUUGCAGAAUUCAGUGAAUCAUCGAAUCUUUGAACGCACAUUGCGCCCGCCAGUAUUCUGGCGGGCAUGCCUGUUCGGGCGUCAUUUCAACCAUCAAGCCCCAGGCUUGUGUUGGGGACCUGCGGCUGCCGCAGGCCCUGAAAACCAGUGGCGGGCUCGCUGUCACACCGGGCGUAGUAGAUUUUAUCUCGCUCAGGGCGUGCUGCGGGUUCCGGCCGUUAAAAAGCCUUUUUUACCCAAGGUUGACCUCGGAUCAGGUAGGAAUACCCGCUGAACUUAAGCAUAUCAAUAAGCGGAGGA
rnacentral:misc_RNA from 1 species